AAUUUUUCUUAACUGAUCAGCGAGAUUUCCUCAUACAAUUAGAAAAAUCUUAUCUGAUAUAAGUUAGGAAGUCAAAAUUCAAAUCAAAUUUGAAUCAAGAAGUCAGUCAAAAUGAAUGAAGAGCAUAGAUGUGAGAUGUGAAGAGCAACAGAAGAGUGCUUGUUGGGCCCCAUGCCCAAGCUCAAGAGAAGACCUGCAAAUCUAAUUUGGCACCAUAAAAAGGCCCAUUAUAGGGUGUUGCCCAUUUAAGUCGGCUCUGAAUAAGCGCCCGCUUCUUCCUCACCAUCUGCCAUCUUCCUCCCGGUGUCGCCGUCUACCAUCUUGUCCACAAGUCGACGGCAAACACCACCCAUCAUUGUUGUUACUCUAUCGGCGUACCCACGGUGGUCGUCCCUCUGCCCGCGCCCGCGUGUUUCUCUCGCGCCCACCCAUCUGCAAGCGGAUCCACUGUGGUCGCCCCUGUUUCAGAUUAUUGCCUCUUCUCUGUCGAUUGCCGCUCUCUUAGCUGAUUCCAAUGCGUAGAGAGUGAAUCAGGUCUUUCUCGGAAAUUCGCUUGAUAGAUAGAGAUAGAUCGACAAAGACAGUGUUAUAGAGAGAGAGAGAGAGAGAAAGAGAGAGGCAAUAGAACAAACAUCAACGUCUGCAUUUGUUAGAUCAGAACAAAAAUCUCAUUGAGUGUCGCAACGAUGUUAUCAUAGCACUCUUGAACUCGGCGAGCAUCUUUGUCUCUGGCAGCAUAAUCCAGCUGCAGCACAAACGAUAAAGAUUUCAAGCUUCAUUUGCGAAGCUGGAGCAUACCGAGAGCGUGAAGACAAUGGACUCACACUUGAGACAUCGUUGAAGAGGUGAGAGUAGAGCUUCCUCAGCUGUGGCCGCUGGCUUCCCGGCUUUGCUUGGAUGAUCGUGUAGAGAUCCUGCUUCAGAUACGACGAGCUCUCGCGAAGCGCGAUCUGGGCUUCUCUCCACGACUGCGAAUCGAUCAAAGCCUUUAUCCGCACCAGAUCUCUUGCAUGGAUCUUCACCACCGCGUCUGCUUCUUCGGGUGUCUGUUCCGGAGCGGUGAAUCUGAACUCCAAGGCGGAAGCGACGCUCGAACCGGAGAUGGCUUCCUUGGCAUGGAGAGCUACUGCUACAGCUGCUGCUGCUGUUGCUUGUCUCCUUCCGAUGAGUAGCUGUUCCGGGAGACCCGGAGCUGCAUGGCCAAGCUUGGAGUGGCCAUGGAGGCGGCAAACGACGCCGAGCGAAGGGUUUGUGGAGCAGUGUCUCAGCGACAUCGGCGAUGCCAUUUCACUUUGUGCAAGUUUUGGAUGGCUGUGAAGAGCGCCACUGCUAAUGCGGAUAAGAUGGUUCUUCUAACGCUUGUGGUCGACAAUGAGUUACCACUUUCUCAAGGAAAGAUUACCGUAGGAAAAGUCAAACCCAGAAAAUGUUUCCCUAUUUACAUUAAUCACAAGAAAAGUCAAACCCAGAAUGUAAAGAUAAAUUCGGGAGCUCAAAAUUCCAUGAAACAAUUACCGAGACAAAUAUUCUAUCAAAGAAGGAUGAUAUGAUUCACAAGAAAACUUCUUAAUUGUCUACAAAACAAACGAAAAAAAAGAAAAGAAAAGAUAGCUAUGUUUGAUUCGCAUAGAAAGUCGUAGUCAUCAAAGAAGAGCAAACAAACACAUUGACAUUACUUCUGCCGCUACCUAAUUAGAAUCUAAUAAUGUCUAGACAGAAGUCAACAUGAGAAAUAUAUCUCGAUGACUUGUAAAGCACAUUCUUCCAAACAGCGACGAUGCUGUGAUCCAAUGCAUUUAAGACUUGUGUCCGAGGCUUAAUUCAAGAGGUACGAGAGAUUGGACAGAGACUGGUGCCUCAUGUAAUCUUGAGUAUUGAAGUCUUUGGAUUUGAAUUGCCAUGAACGUGAAGUCUGGUGUCAAAUCUGUUGGGAAA